GUCUCUUCCCCUGUCUGUUGUGUGUGUGUGUGUGUGGGUAUGGUCUCCCCCAGCAGGCAGCAGUCAGGUGAAACUACUCUGCAAUCAACCACCUACAUAGACUCUGGAUUUCCUCCUGCUUGACCACAGAUCGUUGCUUCAGUCUAUGUGAUUGCUGCAUUGACCUAGCAGCCUGUGUUUGCUUCUCCUUUGCCUGCGGACUUGCCAACCUACUGCCAUUGCUCUGAAGCAGACACCACGCCACCAUCACCCUCGUCUUCACCAGUGAUCUCACGAGCCACUACGCUUUCAGUAACCAUCAAGGAGCAGACCCCUUCCCACUCCUUCUCUGUCUUCCUCCAAGGGACCAUGUUGACAGGCAUCGACGGACCACUCAUGCUCUCCUGUGACAUGGUGCAGAAGGCCAAUCUAUAUGUAUGUAUGUAUGUAUGUACGUACGUACAUACAUACAUACAUACAUACAUACAUACAUACAUACAUACAUACAUACAUACAUACAUACAUACAUACAUACAUACAUACAUACAUACAUACAUACAUACAUACAUACAUACAUACAUACAUACAUACGACUGCCAGGUCACUUCAUAAAGAUAUUUAUGCUACUUUCUAUUUUCGAACACUGGAAACAAGCUAACGUUAGCACUAGCAUCCGAAACAAGCUAACGUUAGCCCGACUGCAAUAUCACAGUAAGGUCACAUGCACAAUGGAGUACUAGUGUAACAAUUACAAUUAGCUUUUUAACCCAGUCGAAAAUCAAAUUAAACAUUAUGUAAAUCAAUCAGGGGUAAUUACCU